GCGUCAGUAGUGCAACGGUUUAGAGCACGCUUCUCCGGACAAAGUGAGAUACGGGUUUGAGUCCCGCCUGAUGCA